AGCCUAACCCUUGUGAGUAAAAUCGCAAGGUAUGGCAAUAAAACCCACUACAGGACAUUAAGCUCCUCGUUUAGAGCACCUGUAGUGGGUCAUAUCUCGAAAGGGAUGUGGGUGGCGUAAGCCAUC
rnacentral:sRNA from 1 species